rnacentral:snRNA from 1 species
GGAUGUGAGCAUGAUCAGGCUGGCUAGGCCAGUGACCUCCAACCCUCACUGCUCCAUGCGUCUGUCUCCGUGGAGGCUUCAUGCUUGGUCAAAGAGAAUGACCUUCCCUAAAUAGAGGAUGGUUCAGUCAAGGGUAUAUAAGCAGCUACGCCCCCCUGCAGGAACCUCCAACAAGCUCUCAAGAAAUAAACUUGCAUCUGUUCGGCAGAGACAAGACAUUUGCAGUGCUGACUGAGAUUCUGCUGUGGUUU